rnacentral:tRNA from 1 species
UGUUGUGGCUCAGUGGUAGAGCUCUUGCCUAGCAUGCUUGAGGCACUGGGUUCGAUCCCCUGCACCA